UUCAAUGGUGGCUGUGCGCGGGACACCUUCGGGUGUGCCGGGUGCCUUGACUCCCGGUAUUCCUACCCCGCGUACAGCCGCCACCCAA
rnacentral:antisense_RNA from 1 species